rnacentral:rRNA from 1 species
GAUGAACGCUGGCGGCGUGCCUAAUACAUGCAAGUCGAGCGAACAGAUGAGGAGCUUGCUCCUCUGACGUUAGCGGCGGACGGGUGAGUAACACGUGGAUAACCUACCUAUAAGACUGGGAUAACUUCGGGAAACCGGAGCUAAUACCGGAUAAUAUAUUGAACCGCAUGGUUCAAUAGUGAAAGACGGCUUUGCUGUCACUUAUAGAUGGAUCCGCGCCGCAUUAGCUAGUUGGUAAGGUAACGGCUUACCAAGGCAACGAGGCGUAGCCGACCUGAGAGGGUGGUCGGCCACACUGGAACUGGAACGCGGUCCAGGCGCCUACGGGAGGCAGCAGUAGGGAAUCUUCCGCAAUGGGCGAAAGCCUGACGGAGCAACGCCGCGUGAGUGAUGAAGGUCUUCGGAUCGUAAAACUCUGUUAUUAGGGGAGAACAAAUGUGUAAGUAACUAUGCACGUCUUGACGGUACCUAAUCAGAAAGCCACGGCUAACUACGUG